UGGGAAUUUUGGACAAUGGGCGAAAGCCUGAUCCAGCAAUGCCGCGUGUGUGAAGAAGGCCUUCGGGUUGUAAAGCACUUUUGUCCGGAAAGAAAUCCUUGGCUCUAAUACAGUCGGGGGAUGACGGUACCGGAAGAAUAAGCACCGGCUAACUACGUGCCAGCAGCCGCGGUAAUACGUAGGGUGCAAGCGUUAAUCGGAAUUACUGGGCGUAAAGCGUGCGCAGGCGGUUUGCUAAGACCGAUGUGAAAUCCCCGGGCUCAACCUGGGAACUGCAUUGGUGACUGGCAGGCUAGAGUAUGGCAGAGGGGGGUAGAAUUCCACGUGUAGCAGUGAAAUGCGUAGAGAUGUGGAGGAAUACCGAUGGCGAAGGCAGCCCCCUGGGCCAAUACUGACGCUCAUGCACGAAAGCGUGGGGAGCAAACAGGAUUAGAUACCCUGGUAGUCCACGCCCUAAAACGAUGUCAACUAGUUGUUGGGGAUUCAUUUCCUUAGUAACGUAGCUAACGCGUGAAGUUGACCGCCUGGGGAGUACGGUCGCAAGAUUAAAACUUAAAGGAAUUGACGGGGUCAUAGCUGUUUCCU
rnacentral:rRNA from 1 species